AAGACACUGGCUUUUUUUGUUUUUUGUUUUUUUAUGCCCAGCAGAGUGGGAUCGGCUCCUGUUAUUUAUGCCUCUCUGGAGUCCUGAUGACCAGCUCGAUGAGGGAGAUUGUCACUGAUGGCGUCUGACUCCUAGAAACUGCUCAGCUGGUCUUUGAAGGAUAGUCUCCAAAGGGCAAUAUCAAGGAAGGGUUUUAGACAAACUUCUCCACAUUCCAAGAAGGAAAUCCGUGCACAGAGCCCCUUCCUUGGGCGCCCUCUUCGGGGUCUCGGUACCUUCCCUUCUAAUUGGCUCUGACUGUAAAUGCUUGUUUACUGCACUGUGAUGUAAGAAGGCCCAGUGCAAUGUUUGAAUGUACCUCCUCGAUCCUAACCAGGUUCACGGGUCAGCAACA
rnacentral:lncRNA from 1 species